UGAAAGGCUGUGUGGUGCACGAAGUCGAGCGAUCUGGACAGUGGAGCGACGGAGACGGAGAGACAUAACAAGAAGUGCUGCCUCAUCCUCAGUGAGCUCAUCACAGAGCCACGAUAACAGCUCAUCUGAGAGAGGCUCUGGAAGACAAAAAGACUGUGUCUUUGUGUCCACACCUCCAUAGCCACCUCACUUAUUUUGUCAUUUUUAAAUGAUAGAAACUAGGAAAAGAUUUGAGAAUGAUCAUAGCAAACCACAAAACAGGCCAAAAGGGGGAAAAUAGAUAAGAGGCUGGAUUGCACAAAAGUUUAGGUGCAGUAAUUUGCAACAUAGGCUCAUUGGAAAUACUUGCCUCUAUCUACAUUUCUGCAAAACUCAAAAAAAUGUACUUAUACAUACGAAUCGUUUCCAGUUGAAAUUAACACUAGAGGCAGUAAAACUCCCACAACUUUUAUUCCUUUUCACACAAAGUAUGAUUUGCAGGUCCACAGUUUCGAUUAAUAAAGCCUAAUUUUCGCAUAAUUACUUGAGGAAUAUUAAGUUUGAAUUCAAAACAAUUUUAACAUGCUGCGAGAUUUGAGAACUGAUGCAUUUGAAGGUUAGCGUCACAUAUCCAGCUUCAUAUGCUUGAGAUUUGUAAUGUAACUCAGUAGGUUUGCUCGGUAGCUCACGCAAUAUGGGGUUGCACUUCUAGUGAUGAAGAGCUUCGGUACGAAUCCCGUGAAACUACGGUUCCACAAACCAGCUCAAAUCCGCAUGAGGAAGUUUAAAUGCAUCAACAAAUGCAUUUUUAUAUCACUUUUGCAUUUGUUAACCCUAUCGGGUAGGUUUAGGGUUGGGUUUGGUGCAGUGUAUAAUAUAUGUAUAACACAAUACAGCAUUAACUUUUAGCGACACUCCUCGGAUAUUUGAAUUAUGAACCACCGUAAUACUUACCUGAAGCAACAUAAUACAAACACAGCAAUAUGUGCCUAUUCAUGGAUUUCAUGUGACGUCACACAGUGGUGCGGCCGCCAUUUGUAGGACCGAAUUGCAAUUACGUCUAUCUGCUGUGCUGUGCUCUGGGCUGUGAUAACUGUGUGGAUGUAUGGGAUCCUUUUGAUUAAAUAUUUCUCCUAAGCAUAGAUGCGUUUACAUUUUAGUAUUUUACUUAGCAAGUUCAUAAAGGAAGUUGGAAAAGGUUAAAUUCGUGUGCGAGACUGCUGAUUUGAUCCACUAAAGGAGGUAGAGCUUUUUCACAUUUGGCACCCAAACUCUGGAAUAGCCUUCCUGAUAACGUUCGGGGUUCAGACACACUCUCUCUGUUUAAAUCUAGAUUAAAGACGCAUCUCUUUAGCCAAGCAUUCACAUAAUAAUCUUGUACUGCAUUUAUAUCUGAUCAAAUGUACAUUAUAAUUCUUUAGAUUGGGUUGAACAAAUCAUUUUUGCUUGAAUAGAACAGCAGCUACGCUAAUUAUGUCUCUAUCUGUUUCUCUGAUUCUGCCACGGGAUUAACAACUAGGAAUUACUGAAGCGUCAGUCUGGAUCCAACCCUUAAAAAGAUCCGAGAUGACCAAACACCUGAGAAGAGAUGAUGGCAACACCUCAGAGGACCACGGAGGAUGCCAACCCUCAGACAACAUACACAAUUACCAAGUUAAGUCUGUCAUAACUUAAAUAUAUUGGGUUUCUUCUGCGUGUAUGUGUAUAUAUAUGUGCAUGUGUGCGUAUGUGUAUGCAUAUAUAUAGUAGAAACUUAAUUUCCUGUAAAGUUGCUUUGCAACGAUUGUAUUGUAAAAAGCGCUAUACAAAUAAACUUGAAUUGAAUUGAAUUGAUUUGCCAGAAAACUUUCGUUGUUCUCCACCUAAAGCUAAUAAAUCAACGAGAUGUUUUUGAUCUUUGAUCUAAGAACAGUUAUGUGAGUCUAGAAUGUUUACGCUGCACUAAACUUUGACGAGCAAACAAACCCGAUGGAGAAGAAGAGGAGGAUGAUGACGUUCCAGCAGCGCCGCAUACAAGGGGAAAGUAACCAAGAGAAGUGUCAUCACAGAAGAAUUGGCAGAUGUUACUCCUCAGACGCCUGUGAACACCGAACAGUGCUUGGAGUCCAAGACAGUGGACAUCAUCUUUAUUAUACUUCUCUGACUGGACUAGGAAGGAGCAGUUAGAGUCGAUGAGAAAGUGCAGAAAUGAAAGCUCCCAAGCAAAGAACUCACUGGACUAAGAUGUGAAAAGACAUGCUGCACAAUGACCACAACUCCUGACAAGAGAUUUGAAAAAUGAGCAACACUCUUACAAAAAUUACUGCAGUACACUGAAGUACAACUGCAGUAAAACUGCAGUACAAAGUAGUAUAACUGCAGUACAAUGAAGUGCAACUGGAAAUUUGCAGUAUAAUGAAGUACCCUAUUGACCCGAAUAUAAGACGAUGUUUUUUCCUUGGAAAUACAUCUGAAAAAACGCGUUCGUCUUAUAUUCAGGGUCUAGAGUCUAGACUUUGACAUGUCAAUAAUACACCCACAACAAUAGGUGGCGCCAAAAACGCAUAAAACGAGUGUGCCAUGAAAUAUGUAAUGUAAUGUGUGUUGUAAAGAUCGCGAAUGAAAACAAAUGAAAAAGAAAAGCUUACAGCAGCAUGAUCGUGACUGUCAUGUUAGCCUGAUGGGACCAAACUUCCUCUGUAAGUGAUUUUAAAACAUAAGACAGUACCCAGAUUUGAAGACUACAAUAAGAUUUCACGUCUACUGAUAAUAACAUUUUGGUAGGCUACUAUGAGUUGGAUAGCCUAAUUGUUAUAUAAUUCAGAUGGGCUACCUGUUAUUUCAAUGGUAGCUAUAUCAAAAUUUUCCAAUGUCAUUGUUGGUACAUUUUACCAGUAUUUACCAUACUUUCAAAACAAAAAUUAGAAUUGGAAAAAUAUGCAAUAUGAAAAUAAUUUAAGAAUAAAUGUGUUUUGCAGAGAGAGAGAGAGAGAGAGAGAGAGAGAGAGAGAGAGAGAAAAAAAAAGAUUUGGUUUUCAAAAAGCCUUUUUCCAACAGGUACAUCUGGAAAAAGGGGGGUCGUCUUAUAAUCAGGGUCGUCUUAUAUUCGGGACAAUACGGUAUAUAACUGCUGUUCAUUAAAGUUCAACAGCAGUAAAACCGCAGUACAAUGAAGUACAACUGUAGAUUUGCAGUAUAAUGAAGUACAGAUACAAUAUAACUACAGUUCAGUGAUACGCUGAAAUGCAUGUGAAGAUUUCAGAUGCAAAAACUUCUAAGUCUGUCUGAUUAAAUUGAUUUUAUUUAUUUUUAUGAGCAUUUUUUAAAAACGCUCCUACAAUUAGGUUCAAUAAUUAAACUUUAAUGUCAAUGAGGUUCUUUUCAUUGCCAUUAAAGUCUUCAUGUAUAGGCCCUGUACUGCAGUUAUACUGUAUUAAUUUGUGCAACAUGUGCUGUUGUUACAGUAGACUUGGCAAGUGUCUUUUUAUUCAUUUAUUUAUUUUUUAUUUUUUUGCAAUGCAGACUUCCUAUUAAAUAUUCUUUGCUGUUUGAGACAUUCACUGUUGUUGUGUACCUUAAUUUAUUAUAUUGCAGUUGUGUGCAAAUAAAACUUGUUAUUCUGAAUUUUCUUGUUGCAUUUCAGUGUUAUUGUACAGCAUUUUAUUAGUAUUGCACUUUGGUUGUAUUGAGUAGUAGUUUUGCAGUUGUAUUUCAAUAGUACAUCAGAUGUAUUGCAGUAAAACGUGUCCAAAAAACUGCAUUUUUCUACAUGCAACAAACUGCAGUAUUACUUUUUUAAAAACUGCAAUAAUUUUUUGUAAGGGCAAGCAAGAACAGUAUUCACUGAUUACCUUUAAAAAUGAUUCAUAGUAACAGUUAGUA